UAGGGUUGGCCAAAAAUUUUUUUCAGGUUUUUCCAUAUGGCACCUAUGGAAAAACCUGAAUGAACUUUUUGGCCAUCCCAA
ensembl:miRNA